AUUGAACGCUGGCGGCAGGCCUAACACAUGCAAGUCGAACGGUAACAGGAAGAAGCUUGCUUCUUUGCUGACGAGUGGCGGCCGGGUGAGUAAUGUCUGGGAAACUGCCUGAUGGAGGGGGAUAACUACUGGAAACGGUAGCUAAUACCGCAUAACGUCGCAAGACCAAAGAGGGGGACCUUCGGGCCUCUUGCCAUCGGAUGUGCCCAGAUGGGAUUAGCUAGUAGGUGGGGUAAUGGCUCACCUAGGCGACGAUCCCUAGCUGGUCUGAGAGGAUGACCAGCCACACUGGAACUGAGACACGGUCCAGACUCCUACGGGAGGCAGCAGUGGGGAAUAUUGCACAAUGGGCGCAAGCCUGAUGCAGCCAUGCCGCGUGUAUGAAGAAGGCCUUCGGGUUGUAAAGUACUUUCAGCGGGGAGGAAGGGAGUAAAGUUAAUACCUUUGCUCAUUGACGUUACCCGCAGAAGAAGCACCGGCUAACUCCGUG
rnacentral:rRNA from 1 species